AAACAUUCGGUGCCUAGUGUAUGCCCAGGACUGUACUAGGCCCUGGGAAUACAAUGGUGGGGAAAAUACAUGGAGGAGAAACAGGUGAUUACACAGAUGUUAAAUAUCCCCAGCUAGAGUUGGGGAGGAGAGAAACAGAUGCUCUAAGAACCCAUAUUGGGAGAUCUGAUGUAGUGAGGGGGCUCGGGCAAGGUUUUCUUGGUGAAGGAGAGAGAGAGAAAGUGUGAGUAUGAAUUAACUGGGGGAGGAAGAGAGGGAGGCGUACUCUUGGCAGAGGGAGGAGCAUGCAAUUUGCGACUCCCUCUCCGUUAGGGAGGGGAAGCCAGGCGAGUGCAGUUGGAGUGAGAGCAAGAAGAUGAGGGCAGAUCUCAAAUGCCAGUUUCAAGUUUGCCUUUGUCCCAGUACCAACUGGAAACAGUUGAAAGCUUUCUGUUUUCUUUGUUGUUGUUGGUUUUUUACUGUCUUUCUGGUGUUAUUUUUGCGGUGGCUCAUGUUACAUCAUAUUUGUGUUUUGAAAAUAUUGCUCUGGGUGCAGUAUGGAGAGCGGACUGGGUGUGGGGGUGCAGUCCCAGUGACUGCAGAGAGCCUGUCAGGAGGGGAGUGCGCUGCAGCGGGGACCGAGGUGAAUAGCUGGGACUAGACGGAAGUGAAUGCUUUGGAACGGGAUUGCGGAGACAAAGUCAGCGGGUUUGGUCGUGGGUGGGGUAUACGGAAGCUAUAUCAAAGAUGACUCCUGGUUUUCUGGCGUCUGUAACUGAGUAGAUGAUGUUGCAGGAGAGUGUGCGUUUGGAUGAGAAGCAGGCAGAGAGUGAAAAUCGUGAGUUCAGCCUGAAAUCUGUCUGAAAUGUUCAAGAAGAGAUGUCAAGAACGUGGUUGGAUUUUACAGGUUUGGGACUUGAAAAGCAUUCUGAUAUGGAGAUGUAAAUCUGAGUUGUCAGCGGAAAGUUGGUCAUGAAGUCACAAGUGUAACUUUAACUAGAAAAAGAGUGAAGGGGGGGGGUAAGGGAGAGAGAUUCUGAAUCUAGAAUAAUUCCAAUAUUUAAUAGCUAGUCAGGAGAGGGUGACCAGCAAAAGAGGUUGUGCAGGAAGAGCUAGAGAAAUAGGAAGAAAGUAGACGAAGGCUGUGUUGCAAGGCCAAGACUUCAUAUAAAUGCUGCCAAGAGGUUAAGUAAGAUGAGGGCCAAAAUGAUCUGCACAAUUUUGUGACAGAAGUCAGGUGGGAACUGUUUCAGGUGGGAACUGAUUCAGAGAGCAGAUGGGGGGAUGCUGCCUCUAAGAGACUGUACGGAGAGAGACUCCAAAAUCUGUGACAUGGCAGAGAGAGACUGAAAGAGGCCAAGGGUGAGAGGAGGCUUUUUUCUUUUUUCCCUUUAAACCGGGAGACUCUAGAGUGCUUUGACAAUGCUGAGUACUGUAAAGUUCAGCAUUGAGUGGCGGAGAGCCUGCAGCACAAGCCAGUGCACUGGCUCCAGACUGGCAGGCCUGCGGGCGAGUGCUUCUGAAGUUUGAAAGCAGUUCAUUCUGUUUGUAUUUGAAAAUACUCCCUGUUGUCCUAUUUACAAUGUAGACUUUUCUAAUAAAUGCCAUAGUAGACCAAAGGCAAAUUAACCAAAAUUUUGUCAUAAUUAUCAUAAAUAUGGAAUUAGUAAAGGUCAAAUUAUAGUAUUACUGUUUCUAGAAGAUGAAUAGAUUUUAUUCUAAAGUUUUGAUUAUCUGAAAUUCUUUGUUAAAAUAUCCAAAUCUCAACUAAUGGCAUCUGAGAUGGGUGUAGCCACAAAAUCUAGAAAUGUUCAAAGAAAUAAAAGGGACAUAUCUAAAUUUCUCUUAAGUUUCUAUAUUAUCAUCGUAUUGGUUAGCUGCCACCAAAGGGUGCUCUUAGAUAAAUACAUUUUUCUAGAUCAAAAUGUGUUUUCACUGUUGCUUAUGCAUAUCAAAGGCAACCUACUCCAUAAUGAACUGACUUGUAUUUUAAUAUCUGCACAUAUUUUUUGUAAUGGACAAAUAUAUUAUUAUUUAAAUUAUAGUGAAAUUGUUGUCAUAUAUUGGCAUUUUUUACUGAAUGUUUCUGCCUACAGUAAAAUAAGGUAUUCAGUUAUGAUAAAAGAUUAAGGAUUCAUUCAUUUAUUCUGUAAGUCAAUACUGAGUGCCUAUGACAUGCCUGGUGACUGUUAUGCAUGCUGGAAAUACACCAGACAGAAACCCCUGCCCUUGUGAAACUCGUACUCUGUUAUGUUGGGGUAUUGAAAACACAGCUUCCGGCAUUAGUAAGUUACUCUCAUAUAUUCUGCAUCAUUCAAGGAGCGAAAAAGGUCGUGAACACGAUGUAAACUAUAAACCAUUCCUCCAGAGUCAGGGACAGGAUUGCUUCUUUCGGGGUCACGGACUCUUGGUAAUCCACAUUGGCUCUAGUUUCAAAUUCGAGGUUACUCCCUCACGAUUCAUUAUUUAUUCCAUCGUCUUGCCCAACACAGGAUGUUCAGUAUUCAUCACAACCAGCUGCAACUGCUUCUAUUCUCAGAGGAGCUUAACAUUCAGCAUGUUGGGGCCUGUUCCUCUGGUUGAACAAGCUGUCAGAAAAAUUAUUUCCUUUUUUUCUUUAAGUCUUAAGCUCUCAUGCCAUGAAUUUGAUAGUGUCAGAGAAACAAUUUUUUAGUAGAAACAGGGAAAGCAAGCACUAUCUAUUUUGAUCAAAUUCAAGAGAACUUUUAUUUCAGUGUAAUCAGUAGCAAUAAACCUCAACUCUUUGGCCAAGAGUACUAAAAUUACAAGCUAAAAAGAUGUAGUGAUGUAAGUGAGAAUCAGUCCUCCUGUCAAUAAGAAAAAGAUCAGUUUGGGCUUUGGGGGCCGGGACAGUCCGCCUCCUCUCUUGCACUUGAACGCCUAAAGCCUUUCCACUCAAAGUCUGCGAACAGCAUCCCUGCCUGGGAGUUUAUCAGACCUGCAGAAGUUCGCGUCCCGCCCCCGCCUCACUGAACCAGAAGCUGCGUUCCAGUAGGAUCUCCAGGCGGUCGGCGUGCCCGUCGAAGUGCGGGAAGCCUGACUCUGAGUCGAGGCAGCCUGUGGCCAGGGGGCCGGCUCCAGGCAUCACCUGUGCUUUUACUGCCGGGUAGAGAACAGUGGUUUUCACAUGUUUCAGUGGUUGGG